UGGGGAAUAUUGCGCAAUGGGGGAAACCCUGACGCAGCAACGCCGCGUGAUUGAAGAAGGUCUUCGGAUUGUAAAAAUCUUUUAUCAAGGACGAAGAAGUGACGGUACUUGAUGAAUAAGCUCCGGCUAACUACGUGCCAGCAGCCGCGGUAAUACGUAGGGAGCAAGCGUUAUCCGGAUUUACUGGGUGUAAAGGGCGAGUAGGCGGAUUGGCAAGUUGGGAGUGAAAUGUCGGGGCUUAACCCCGGACUGCUUUUGAAACUGUAAGGCUAGAGUGCAGGAGGGGUGAGUGGAAUUCCUAGUGUAGCGGUGAAAUGCGUAGAUAUUAGGAGGAACACCAGUGGCGAAGGCGGCUCACUGGACUGUAACUGACACUGAGGCUCGAAAGCGUGGGGAGCAAACAGGAUUAGAUACCCUGGUA
rnacentral:rRNA from 1 species